AAUUCACUUCCGGUUCGAUGCCUUUAAAACGGAGGGGGAGCGGCACAGCGCUUAGAUGCUGCGCCACGGAUUUGCCAGCUGGAUAGAUGAGGAUGCUGUUGGUGGUGGAUGGAUUUUCACGUGGCAUAGCAAGGAGUAUUUGUGAUGCACACCACACUACUCUGUGAAGUGUUCCUGACCUUCAGAAGGAACAAGGAUCAACUGGAGGUCAACCUGGGAAGAGGAUACUUGAAGCUGUUGCUGCCACUGAAUGGCGCAACCCUGUUAAAGGACUCGAGCUGGAAGUCAAGUGUGCUGAUCUUGGCAGACCUGUGCCAUUGUGAGGUGUUGAGUGCGUCUUGGGAGAGCUGACAUCUCUUCACAGCAAGAACCUUGAUUGGUGCAGAGCUGAAGCAUCACACAUAAAGGAGUGCACAAUCACCUUUAGAGGUUUACCUCUGGUCACUCCAUAGACUCCUGAAAUUAACGUGUUAAACCCUCGCAGGGAUGACAAAAUCAGACAUUCAAAUGUUUGUUCUACACACUUUUGUCCUCUGUCUUUGAGUGGAUACUGUGAUCUCCGGUAUGUGAA